rnacentral:rRNA from 1 species
CUGAGAAACGGCUAUUACAUCUAAGGGGGGCAGCAGGGGCGUAAAUUACCCAAUCUUAAUUUAAGGAGGUAGUGACAAGAAAUACCGAACUAGCGUAAGCUAGGAUUGGAAUGGACCAAAUACAAAUCCCUUGGCGAGUAACAAUUGGAGGGCAAGUCUGGUGCCAGCAGCCGCGGUAAUUCCAGCUCCAAUAGCAUAUAUUAAAGUUGUUGCAGUUAAAAAGCUCGUAGUUGGAUAUCUGGAGUAGUUCAAUUGGCUAACACGUCAUUUGAACCAUAUCCAUCCUUCUGUUAACGCGUGUUGGUAUUCUCGUACUGGACGUGGGCUCAGAUAUUUUACCUUGAGAAAAUUAGAGUGUUUCAGGCAGGCUUGGCCGGAAUACAAAAGCAUGGAAUAAUAGAAUUUGGCGCAACUCUGUGGUUGGCCAGAGAAGCGUAAUGAUUAAUAGGAACAGUUGGGGGCAUUAGUAUUUAAUUGUCAGAGGUGAAAUUCUUGGAUUUGUUAAAGACUAACCAAAGCGAAAGCAUUUGCCAAGGAUGUUUUCAUUAAUCAAGAACGAAAGUUAGGGGAUCAAAGACGAUCAGAUACCGUCGUAGUCUUAACCAUAAACGAUGCCGACUAGAGAUCGGAGGAGUAUAAGCUCCUUCGGGAUCUAAGGAGAAAUCAAAGUCUUUGGGUUCUGGGGGGAGUAUGGUCGCAAGGCUGAAACUUGAAGGAAUUGACGGAAGGGCACCACCAGGAGUGGAGCCUGCGGCUUAAUCUGACUCAACACGGAGAAAUUUACCAGGUCCAGACAUUGGCAGGAUUGACAGAUUGAUAGCUCUUUCUUGAUUCUUUGGGUGGUGGUGCAUGGCCGUUCUUAGUUGGUGGAGUGAUUUGUCUGGUUAAUUCCGAUAACGAACGAGACCUUAACCUACUAACUAGACGAGGAGGUUACCUAUCUCUUCGCGCUUCUUAGAGGGACUGUCUGGUCAACCUCAAGGAAGUUUAAGGCAAUAACAGGUCUGUGAUGCCCUUAGAUGUCCUGGGCUGCACGCGUGCUACACUGAUGCACACAAUGAGUUCCUAGGCCGAAAGGCCUGUGGUAAUCUUCAAUAUGCAUCGUGAUUGGGAUAGAUCUUUGUAAUUAUGGAUCUUUAACGAGGAAUUCCUAGUAAGCGUAAGUCAUCAGCUUACGCUGAUUAAGUCCCUGCCCUUUGUACACACCGCCCGUCGCUCCUACCGAUUCCGAGUGAUUCGGUGAGCCUUUUGGACCUGUCAAAAGCGGGAAAAUUAUGCGAACCAAAUCACUUAGAGGAAGGAGAAGUCGUAACAAGGUUUCCGUAGGUGAACCUGCGGAAGGAUCA